AGCGUGGAUGCCUGGGGAGGGGUAGAGUGCGUAUCGGGAGGGGGGCUGACUGGUAUGACCCCUGCCGUGACCUCUCACCGUGUUUUCAGUAUCUUCAGCUCAAGAAGAAGUUAGAAGAUGAGUUCCCCGGCCGCCUGGACAUCGUGAGUCUUGGGAUGGGGAGAAAGACUUGAGCACAGCCACUGGGUCGGUCCGUUAGGCCUGGAUGGCACUGCAGGGGGGUUAGGUCGGCCCUACCCCCUUCACCCAUGUUCUCAUCCCCCUGGGAAGGGGAGGGGCUCCCCAAGAGGACAUCUCAGCCCCUUCAACAUCUCCCUACCCCCUUUCCUCAGUGCGGCGAGGGAACUCCCCAGGCCACCGGGUUCUUUGAAGUGAUGGUAGCCGGGAAGUUGAUUCACUCUAAGAAGAAAGGCGAUGGCUACGUGGACACAGAAAGCAAGUUUCUGAAGCUGGUGGCCGCCAUCAAAGCCGCCUUGGCUCAGGGCUAAUGCGCCCUGAAGGCAGAGGUGAGGGGCCCAUUAGACA
rnacentral:sRNA from 1 species